UUUGGAGCUUGUCCAUCAACUCCCUAUGGUAGUAAGAAGGUAUAUGUCGACGUCUUAGGGCUCCCCUAAGGUCAUUCCAAUAUUCUAUGGGAGGUUCCCUAUGAAGACGUCGGUCUCUCUCUAAAGAGGUCCACCAAUACAUAGCAUUUCCUUGGAAACUAAGGGUGGCUAAGGGUACCUUACGUUCCUCACUUACCCUAUGGCAAGCAAAGAGUUGCUCUACCUUCAUCUCCCAAUCUAGAUAUACUUCUACAUUUUCCUUUCCAUGAAAAUGAGGUAGGUCUACUCUUGUUUCCCUUGGCACCUCUUGUUCCCUUUGCCUAGUUCUUCUAGGGGGUGGUUGGUAAUAAUCAUUGAUUCUACGGCUUCCCUCCCCUAGAGAUUCAAUACUUUGCGAAUGUGAUGCAUGAGUUUUUUUUUAUUUUUGUGAUUUUUGUGACUUCUCUUCUUGAGCUUUAGCCAACUCAUUGAUUUUG
rnacentral:lncRNA from 1 species